rnacentral:misc_RNA from 1 species
AAGUCGUAACAAGGUCUCCGUAGGUGAACCUGCGGAGGGAUCAUUACUGAAUGGCUCCGGCCUUCAACCUUCAAAUCCUAGUGGCAAGCAAACCGUGCUUCGGGGCAUUCGGCCCCGCACUUAUGCAGCAAAGCGUUUGUCUGGAAUCAAAAGCAAGAAUUAAAA